AUUGGAUUAGAAAAAGGGAAAUAAAGAGAAGGGAAUGGGGAUGGGAAUGGGAAAGACAGUAGAGUGAAUCAGACAUAACUUUCCUGUGUUCACAUAUGAAUACAUGACCAGUGUAACUCCCAUAAUAUGUCAAAAUACAUCCUACUGGCAUGUAUAACUAAAAGUAAAAGAUUUUCUGGAGCUGCUGCUGCUAUAGUUGGCUCAUUUUUCCAGCUCUGACAAUCAUUCGUCCUGCAGUCAAAAUGAAUAGAACACUUGUUGAAACAUCUGCAUUUCUGACACUAUUCAUGAUAGAACAUUCAAUCCCGGUUAUAAGGGUUGUGGUUUCUCAUGAGAGGGCCAGGAUGUCUGUAGUUAAGAUUUCAAGUCAUACAAUCAAAAUCUUAGGACUUGAGGGAUCGUUUUUCCCCAACUGAUGCUUCCAAGCCACUCUACAUGUCUCCACAAAAUAACAGUCUAGCAUAUGUAUACACACCCUCUGUGACAAGCUGGUUACUACUGUCAGAGGGAUUCCAUUCCUUGGUCAUCUAUAGCUAUUAGAAGGUGCAACUUUAGGUUGUGUAAAAUUUAAUUCCCUGUGAUUCCUACCCACACAUAGGUGAACCACAUAGCAAAAGCUUAAUCCUCUGUACCCAUUUAUCCCUCUGUGUGUCUUUUAUUUUAAAAAAAUACUGCACAUGUUGUGCAACUCUACAUCAUAUACAACCAGAGAAAUGAAAAGUCGUGCUCUAUUUGUGUAUAAUGAAUUGAAAAGCUUUCUGUUGUCAUGUAUAACUGAUUAGAACUAAUAAAAAAUUUUUUAAAAUUAAACAUAUCAGACAUGUGGAACAUAAUAAAUACCCUUGAACAAUCCAGAACAUGAAAUGAACACCUUUGCAACCCAACCCAAGAAAUAGGUCAUUGCCACUAAUGGAGAAGCUUCUAAUGACCCCCUCCUCAGUUGCAUCCUCUUUUCCCCCAGAGGUAGCCACUUUUCUGAUUCCUGUAUUAAUCUUUUCAUUAUCGUUUUUUAAAAAUAAAUCUACCACCUGUGUAUGCAUUCCUACCAAUAUAUUAUUUAAUUUCGAAAACUGAGAAUAACUAAUCUAGCUAAACCAAGGUAACAGUGUUGCUGGCAUUAGAUGAAGGCUCUCGGGAAAAGAGGUUGCAUGGAGUCUGGAUCAUAAUCUGACAUGCACUUCCCUGAGAAUUUUUAGGAGCCUUGUCCCAGGAAAUCAGUGAGCAAGAUCAUGAAUGAGUUCUGGCAGGGAUUGUGCUCACCAUGUCUGGGCUACAGGUGAACCGGAUCUGCUGGGCUUUCGAAAGAAGCCUCACCAGGGUAGUAGGCUGCCCUGUCACACUCUGCUUCUCAGCUCCUCUGACAGCUUUAAUGGGGGUAAAACGAGGAUCCUCAGCAGACACUGGGGCACGAGGAUUGGGAAUUUUAUCAGUUUCAGGGCAAGAUGAGCCAAGCAUCUAGGCCAGUUUAGCUUGUAUGGUUUUUCACAUCUUGUACUUUUUUUUCUGUUUACUUACUUGUUUUGAUAGAAAAUUUAGCUUCCUUAAUCCUAAAUUAGCUUCUUGAGAAAGGAUGAAUAGAAAGUAAAUCUUCUCAAUCCUGUCAAGCUUAAAAAUGUCUUCAUUCUACUCUUAUAUUUGCUAAUAGUCUUCUUAAUGUGUAUAGAACUCUUAAUUGAAGAUUAUUUUUGACAAUUUUUAAAUUAAACUUUUUAUUAUGAGAUAAUUAUACAUUCACAUCAAAGUUGUAAUAAUACAGAGAAGUCUUUGGAACCCUUUACCCAGUUUCCCUAGUACAAUAUUUUAGUGAACGAUAGCAUAGUGCUACAACCAGGAUAUUGACCUUGACACGGUCAAGGAGCACCUGAUGGGCAGUGAUAUAGUCAAGAACAUUUCCAUCACCACAAAGUUCCCUCAUGUUUGUCCAUCUAUAGCACACCUGCUUGUAACCCUUGGCAACCACUAAUCUGUUCUCCCUGUGUAUGAUUUUGUUAUUUCAAGUCUUAUAUAAAUGAAAACAUAGUUGCCUAACCUUUUGGAAUUACUGUUUUUUACCCAUACAUCCUUCUCUGGAAAUUGAUCCAGGUUGUGCAUGUUUCAUUUGUUCGUUCUUUUUGUUGUUAAAUACACUCCAUGUUAUGGAUAUACCACUGUUUUUUAAAUUGUUCACUGGUUAAACAUCUGAGGAACAUCUACGUUAUUUCUAGUUUGUGACUGUUAUGAAUAAAGUUUUCUGUAAACACUCAAGAACAGUUUUCUUUUCUCUAGAAUAAAUGCCAGAGUGCAAUUACUGGGUCAUAUGCAGUUGUGUUUGGGUUAAUAUAAAACUGCCAAGCUGUUCUCUAGAGUGGCUCCCUACCCCCCCAGCAGGAUUGAG
rnacentral:lncRNA from 1 species